CAGAGGGUAGUUAAAUUUAGAAUUCUGGCCUUGGGUGCCAGCGGUGGGAGUUAAAAUCUCUUCCCUUUGA
rnacentral:tRNA from 1 species